rnacentral:rRNA from 1 species
UCCUGCCGGAGGCCAUUGCUAUCGGAGUCCGAAAAGCCAUGCUAGUCGCGCGGGUUCAGACCCGCGGCGUAUAGCUCAGUAACACGUGGCCAAACUACCCUAUGGACAGGGACAACCUCGGGAAACUGAGGCUAAUCCCUGAUACAGCUCUCACGCUGGAGUGCCGAGAGCUGGAAACGCCCCGGCGCCAUAGGAUGUGGCUGCGGCCGAUUAGGUAGAUGGUGGGGUAACGGCCCACCAUGCCAAUAAUCGGUACGGGUUGUGAGAGCAAGAGCCCGGAGACGGUAUCUGAGACAAGAUACCGGGCCCUACGGGGCGCAGCAGGCGCGAAACCUUUACACUGCACGACAGUGCGAUAAGGGGACUCCGAGUGCGAGGGCAUAUAGUCCUCGCUUUUCUGUACCGUAGGGAGGUACAGGAACAAGUGCUGGGCAAGACCGGUGCCAGCCGCCGCGGUAAUACCGGCAGCACGAGUGAUGGCCGAUAUUAUUGGGCCUAAAGCGUCCGUAGCCGGCCGUGCAAGUCCGUUGGGAAAUCGACGCGCUCAACGCGUCGGCGUCCAGCGGAAACUGUUCGGCUUGGGGCCGGAAGACCUGGGGGGUACGUCCGGGGUAGGAGUGAAAUCCCGUAAUCCUGGACGGACCACCAAUGGCGAAAGCACCUCAGGAAGACGGACCCGACGGUGAGGGACGAAAGCUAGGGUCUCGAACCGGAUUAGAUACCCGGGUAGUCCUAGCUGUAAACGAUGCUCGCUAGGUGUGCCACAGGCUACGAGCCUGUGCUGCGCCCUAGGGAAGCCGAGAAGCGAGCCGCCUGGGAAGUACGUCUGCAAGGAUGAAACUUAAAGGAAUUGGCGGGGGAGCACCACAACC